GAUGAAUGCUGGCGGCGUGCCUAAUACAUGCAAGUCGAGCGAACAGACGAGGAGCUUGCUCCUCUGACGUUAGCGGCGGACGGGUGAGUAACACGUGGAUAACCUACCUAUAAGACUGGGAUAACUUCGGGAAACCGGAGCUAAUACCGGAUAAUAUAUUGAACCGCAUGGUUCAAUAGUGAAAGACGGUUUUGCUGUCACUUAUAGAUGGAUCCGCGCCGCAUUAGCUAGUUGGUAAGGUAACGGCUUACCAAGGCAACGAUGCGUAGCCGACCUGAGAGGGUGAUCGGCCACACUGGAACUGAGACACGGUCCGGACUCCUACGGGAGGCAGCAGUAGGGAAUCUUCAGAAAUGGGCGAAAGCCUGACGGAGCAACGCCGCGUGAGUGAUGAAGGUCUUCGGAUCGUAAAACUCUGUUAUUAGGGAAGAACAAAUGUGUAAGUAACUAUACAAGUCUUGACGGUACCUAAUCAGAAAGCCACGGCUAACUACGUG
rnacentral:rRNA from 1 species